rnacentral:rRNA from 1 species
GACAGAGGUGCCGAGCGUUAGGCGGAAUCACUGGGCUUAAAGCGUGUGUAGGCGGAUCGUUACGUACCUUGUGAAAUCCCACGGCUCAACCGUGGAACUGCUGGGUAUACUGGCGGUCUUGAGCCACCUAGGGGCGAGCGGAACAAGCGGUGGAGCGGUGAAAUGCGUAGAUAUCGCUUGGAACGCCAACGGUGAAAACAGCUCGCUGGGGGUGUGCUGACGCUGAGACACGAAAGCCAGGGGAGCGAACGGG